UGGGGAAUAUUGCGCAAUGGGCGAAAGCCUGACGCAGCGACGCCGCGUGAGGGAUGAAGGCCUUCGGGUUGUAAACCUCUUUCAGCGCCGAAGAAGCGAAAGUGACGGUAGGCGCAGAAGAAGCACCGGCUAACUACGUGCCAGCAGCCGCGGUAAUACGUAGGGUGCAAGCGUUGUCCGGAAUUAUUGGGCGUAAAGAGCUCGUAGGCGGUUUGUCGCGUCUGCUGUGAAAACUCGGGGCUUAACCCCGGGCCUGCAGUGGGUACGGGCAGACUAGAGUGCGGUAGGGGAGACUGGAAUUCCUGGUGUAGCGGUGAAAUGCGCAGAUAUCAGGAGGAACACCGGUGGCGAAGGCGGGUCUCUGGGCCGUAACUGACGCUGAGGAGCGAAAGCGUGGGGAGCGAACAG
rnacentral:rRNA from 1 species